GAUGAACGCUGGCGGCGUGCCUAAUACAUGCAAGUCGAGCGAACAGACGAGGAGCUUGCUCCUCUGACGUUAGCGGCGGACGGGUGAGUAACACGUGGAUAACCUACCUAUAAGACUGGGAUAACUUCGGGAAACCGGAGCUAAUACCGGAUAAUAUAUUGAACCGCAUGGUUCAAUAGUGAAAGACGGUUUUGCUGUCACUUAUAGAUGGAUCCGCGCCGCAUUAGCUAGUUGCCAAGGUAACGGCUUACCAAGGCAACGAUGCGUAGCCGACCUGAGAGGGUGAUCGGCCACACUGGAACUGAGACACGGUCCAGACUCCUACGGGAGGCAGCAGUAGGGAAUCUUCCGCAAUGGGCGAAAGCCUGACGGAGCAACGCCGCGUGAGCGAUGAAGGUCUUCGGAUCGUAAAACUCUGUUAUUAGGGAAGAACAAAUGUGUAAGUAACUAUGCACGUCUUGACGGUACCUAAUCAGAAAGCCACGGCUAACUACGUG
rnacentral:rRNA from 1 species